GCUGGCGCCAGGGUGUGGGUCGAGGGUUGGCUACCAACUCAUACUUACCUGGCAGGGGAGAUACCAUGAUCACGAAGGUGGUUUUCCCAGGGCGAGGCUUAUCCAUUGCACUCCGGAUGUGCUGACCCCUGCGAUUUCCCCAAAUGUGGGAAACUCGACUGCAUAAUUUGUGGUAGUGGGGGACUGCGUUCGCGCUCUCCCCUGGUUAUUCUUUGUUUUAAAAGCUGACUUUUAGAUCUUGGUCUUGUUUUUUUUUUUUCCUGUUUGCGGUUCUCUUUUUUUUUUGCUUCACGUAGGGUCUCACUGUGGACUGUGGUUAAGUUGUUCUUCGCACUCCUCGUGCGCCAUGUGGAUCCCAGUGCCUUGGGAAGCUGAGGAGGAGGAUCGCGAGUUCAAAGGUCACCUCAGCAGUAUGGUGAGACGCUGUGUCCAAGCAAAAUGCGAAGUAGGGCUGGGGUUCAGCGGCUGUGUACCCCUGGGGUUCAAUCUUCGGUACCCAAGGACGAGUAAGUGAAGAUGGCUGUAGUCAUCCAAGCAGUGAACAGACGCUGCUAGGAUUUAGUCCUCCCGGGAGGCCGAGUUCAUAGGAGCUGCUGCCUCCGUCCAGGGUGAAGUCCUUGCUUUCCCAGAAGCAGGCGGGUGCUGGGCUGGUUGGCAGCAGGGUGGGUGUUCUGCGAGGCCUGGCACGGCGUCAUCCCACUCCCCUGGCGAUCAGCGAAAGAAUACAGGACUUGUCUUUUCUUCAGUGGACUGGGGAACGCCUUCCAUGAAAACCGGAAGGAGAGAAUCUUUCUGCCUUUGAGCAGGAUGAGUGGGGGCAACAUUAACAUGGGACUUUCUUCUGUUUUUACCUUCCCAAUCCCUUUAAUCUAUGGGUAACCAUUUCUUAGUCAUAUUCCUGUUCAUCCUUGUCUAAAUGGCACUUUCUUCUGCAUCUAUUGUGUAGGUGGCUUCCUUCUACUUCUGUUUAUCUCUGAGUUAUGUAUUUUUUUAAAAAAUAUUUUUAGUUGGACACAAUACCUUUGUUUUUAUGUGGUGCGGCGGAUUGAACCCAGUGCCUCACGCAUGCUAGGCAAGCGCUCUGCCACUGAGCCAUAAUCCUGGCCCCAUCUGAGUUAUCUUUUUUUAUUGUCGGUGGCAAGUUGACUGGACUCAGGUCCUGAUGAAUCUUGCAGUUUCUGCAGAGUAUCCAGUGGAUUGGCUAUCCCCCCCAUCCCCCCCCCCCCCAGAUUUUAUCUGCAAGUCGGAGUUUGGCUUAAAGGUGUACUUGGUACCCUCAAGUUAGUCAUGCCACAGAGUUUACACCUGACAUGGCAGAGCAGCCUUGGGGAGUGGUGAAUAAUCUGAACAGCUGCAACAGUCCUAAACUGCUAUCCUUGACUUUCUGCCUAAACUUCUUGUUUUAAAUACCUGUAGUCGAGGUUAUAUUCUUGCCAGCCUCCAAUUUUUACACUGCAGGUCAUUUUAAGGGGAAAGGAUGGUGAAAGGGUAAAGUUUCUAAGCUGCUUCUAAACUGCAAAGCCUGAGUUAAAAUGUAAAAGACCGGGCAUUGUAAAGUUCCUAAGCUGCAAGGCCUGAGUUAAAAAGUGAAGGACUAGGUAUUAUUAAGUUCUUCUGCUACACCCAGAACCUGAAAUUCCUGAGGCAGUUAAGACAACGCCCUACUGGCCAUUUAGUUGAUUAAUAGCCUAGGGCCCUGUGCGAUCUUGCAGGUAGGCAUCACAGGGCCUAAACCAAUCAGUUUGAAUGUGUACCCUGCUUAGGAGUAAUCAAUCACCCCCGCCGGACCUGUUCCCGCCAAUGAAUGAACUAAUCAUGUUUAGGAAUUGUUGUUUGAUUUUCCCGCGGUGUAUGAUGAUUUGUUAAAGGAAACUGUGAUGUAUGUAAAGUCCCCGCCCUCCCCAAGAAGUGUACUUAAGCAGUGCUCAGCCCCUGCUCUGGGCUGCUCUCCUUUCUUGAGUGAGCACGGAUCCCCAGCGCGCUGGAUUGGAUCCUCAAUAAAUAAAUCCCCUUCUGCAAUUGCAUGAGUCAGUCUC
rnacentral:snRNA from 1 species